UACGGGGGGAGCAAGCGUUGUUCGGAUUUACUGGGCGUAAAGGGCGCGUAGGCGGCGCAACAAGUCACUUGUGAAAUCUCCGGGCUUAACCCGGAGCGGCCAAGUGAUACUGUCGUGCUAGAGUGCGGAAGGGGCUACUGGAAUUCUCGGUGUAGCGGUGAAAUGCGUAGAUAUCAAGAGGAACACCUGAGGUGAAGACGGGUUGCUAGGCUGACACUGACGCUGAGGCGCGAAAGCCAGGGGAGCAAACGGG
rnacentral:rRNA from 1 species